GGAGAGGGGCAGGCAGAGGGAGCCAGCCCAAGGGCCAAACUGGCCGGCUUAUCCAGGAGCCCUGGCCUCAUGCCGCACUCGAGGGGCCGUGUGGGAGGCCCAGAAAGAACGUCAAGGGAAGGAGGGUCUGCCCGAAGAGGCUAGCCAAGGGUGCGAGGCCCAGGCGAGAUCCCCUUUUCUCUGGUGCAGGGGUAGGGCCCAUGGCAACAGGCGGCCCCAGCACAGGGAGGGUUAAGCAUCCUCCUCGGUCCCCACCCUGCUCUGGCCCCUCCGAGUGUUUACAUCCUUCCAGAAAUAUUCAGCCUCCUUCUACACCCCAGGCUCUCUCCCCUGCAGUUACGGGGUGAGGGGCAGGCGGGGGCGGGGACCAGGUCACUGA